rnacentral:lncRNA from 1 species
CACAAACUAACUCCCAACCAGUUUAGGCUCUCUGUCAGUCUCUCAUGAAAACUGAACUGCAAGGCUCAUAUAAGAACCACCCCAAAUUAUAUGCAUCACAUGAUUUCUAUAAGAGUAUCUGCAUUCACUGUCACACAUCUAAAGCGUUAUUUCAAUUUGCUGCCACUGAAUUGUAUGAGCUGGAUCUGAAAUUUCAGUCCUGUCAAGUAUUUGCAUCAUGUCCAGUGACCUACUUCACCACUCCCUGAUGGUUAAAGUUUGAUGUACUGAAUAAGGUGCUAUCACCUGAGUUCACAGAUCACACUGGAAUGAAAACCAAACUAUAAUUAUGGCUUGGCAUAAUAUGCGAACUUGAUAGCAGUUGAACAUCUAUUAAUUACUUCAUUCGAUAAUCUUUUCCAUUGCAGAGACAUAAAUGAUCACAGAAUAAAAAUAUUAUUUUUUUCCUAAAUAUAGACACGUAUCCUUAAUGGUAGAUGGCACAUGGAAGCAGAAACAUAUAUCAAAAUGCACAAACUGAAAUUUACAUUCUUGCUUUAGACCUGGAUAUAAGUAUGCAAGAGCCCUGUUAUGAAACUGUUAGGAAUGUAAGUCACCUAAUAGUUGGGUUGGAAAAUAUAUAAAACAGGAUAGACAUUUUAAUACUGUCUCUUUAAGCAAACGCUAAAAUUGUAAUUGGGUGUGGUUCCUCAAACAGCCAUAACAUGGAGCCAGAAACCUGGAUUGUUUAGUUCCUGUUCUGUUGUUCUGGAGAGUGUUGCCGUUCCUAUUGAAUGUUACUGAUCAUAGUUCGUCUUGGAUUUGAUGUAAGUCUGUUACUGAACUGUUUUUGAUACUGGACUUUGUUAUUGGAUUAUCCCUGGAUUGAAAACUGACUGCUCCAACUGUGAAUGACUUGGACUACUUGUUUGGACUUUGUUUAAACAUUUAUUGGAAGUAAAAACCUACAUUUUACUAUACAGUGUAUCUGCGUACUGUGUAUUCUUCUUCAUCACUCUCACAACGUCUGUGUGCGCUCAUUUUCCUAACGGGGAAUUACCUCAACAGAAACCACUGCAAAUAUCCUUAGUUUUGCAAUCUCAAUCUGUUGUAGAUAUCUAUCCCUAUGUAUUUUCUGAGGCUGUAAUUAGUUUGUGUUAGGGAACCCUUUUGGGGAAAAUCACCUUUUUAUCCCCUCACAUUUCAUUUGUGGAAUUUUUUUUUUCAGCUCCCAAAUUUUUGUUACUACUUCCAUCCUUAAUUCCCCCAGUUUUUUAAUCUGUGGUUUAAGGCAUCAAACUGGUGAUGUGAAACAAGCACAGCAAAAAGAGGAAAAUGGAACACAAGCAAACAAGCAACUGUAUUUUCAUAACCAAAAAAAUAUCAUUCCAAUAGAUUUUCCAGUUGAGGUUUAACUGUUUGGAUCCCUUCCAUUCUAAAGCUUAGGACAAUUGAACUGUUCAAUCUGCAAUGUAAAAUAUUAUGUUUUGAAAAGGUGUUCAAUAACAGCCACAAAUAUGAAGUCAUUACAAAUGGCAAGUUUUUAUGCUAAAAUCUGUUUAUAUUGCAUUACCAUUCAUACAACAUGGCAAACUCUGACUUUUUAACCAUGAUCUACUAAACAAGCCUCAAAAGUGAUUUUUUAAAAAACAUUCUAAGUCUCAAAACUUGAUUAACAUAUCAUAGUGCCUAGGCUCACACAACGCACUAUGCCACUAAACAAUAUAUAUAUAUUUCAGUAUAUAUGUUUAUUUCAGUAAAAUACAACUAAUGAUUACAUUAGCUUAAUUAACAUAAUUAUUUCAAAAAUAUUUGUGUCACAAAUGCAAACAAUAGCAAUGGCUUAUUAAUAGUACAAUAAAUGGUUGGAUUCCCAAAAUACAUCAAACUAAAACCAAAUAAACCACUUUGGCUUAGUAGAGUAAGAAUUCACUGUUUUGUGAGCCUAGCUUUCAUAAUGUCUACAAAGAAACUUAUUUUUAUAUGAAAAAUAUAUGGCUGAUUUCUGAUUCUAAUCACCAAACAAGAAAGUAAAACUGAAAAAUUGUAUUAUUCUGAUAUUCAGAGCUAUGUUUAUUUAAAUCUGGCGAUAUGUGGAGGAAUAACAAGUAAGGUGAAAUGCUACUUUUUAAAAAUGAAUAAAAUUAGGUAGGUUAUUGUAGCAAUUUUCCUGACCUAAAUGUCAAUAUUUCUUCAAUAGUUCUGUCUCCUUCAAGGAGAUGUAAACUGCCCUCUUCCUUAAGGUCAGUUUUGUAUUUCAAUUUAGAUUCUCCUAAUCCCAAUAUGAUUAUUUUAAUCCAGAUAUUUAAUGUGAGUGUUCUUCCAGAAGU